rnacentral:rRNA from 1 species
GAAUACCAGUGGCGAAGGCGGCCCCCUGGACAAAGACUGACGCUCAGAUGCGAAAGCGUGGGUAGCAAACAGGAUUAGAUACCCUGGUAGUCCACGCCGUAAACGCUGUCUACUUGGAGGUUGAGGUUUAAGACUUUGGCUUUCGGCGCUAACGCAUUAAGUAGACCGCCUGGGGAGUACGGCCGCAAGGUUAAAACUCAAAUGAAUUGACGGGGGCCCGCACAAGCGGUGGAGCAUGUGGUUUAAUUCGAUGCAACGCGAAGAACCUUACCUACUCUUGACAUCCAGCGAAGCCUUUAGAGAUAGAGGCGUGCCUUCGGGAGCGCUGAGACAGGUGCUGCAUGGCUGUCGUCAGCUCGUGUUGUGAAAUGUUGGGUUAAGUCCCGCAACGAGCGCAACCCUUAUCCUUGUUUGCCAGCACAUAAUGGUGGGAACUCCAGGGAGACUGCCGGUGAUAAACCGGAGGAAGGUGGGGACGACGUCAAGUCAUCAUGGCCCUUACGAGUAGGGCUACACACGUGCUACAAUGGCAGAUACAGAGGGCAGCGAGACAGCGAUGUUUAGCGAAUCCCUUAAAGUUUGUCGUAGUCCGGAUUGGAGUCUGCAACUCGACUCCAUGAAGUCGGAAUCGCUAGUAAUCGUGGAUCAGAAUGCCACGGUGAAUACGUUCCCGGGCCUUGUACACACCGCCCGU